rnacentral:lncRNA from 10 species
UUCUCCUUUGCUCUCUUUAUAGAAAUGAUUGUAUCAAUUUAAGAAUGUUAUUCUUCCACACUUAAGAAUUAGUUUCACAAGUUCCUCCAAAGAUUGUGUAAAGUAGUGAUUCUCAGUCUACUUGAAAAUAAGUUAUUCGGGCAGCUUUUAAAAGAUAAGGAUGCUUCGAUCAUCUUCCUGAUCAAUUCAAUCAGAAUUGAGUCUACAUUAACUUUAUACACAGUUGACCCUUGAACAGCACAACAGGACUGCAGUUGUGCACUUCUAUGUAGAUUCUGUUCAACAAAGCACCGAUGGAAAAUACAGCAUUUACAAGAUGAGAAACCCGAGUACACAGAGGAUCAAUCUUUGGUAUAACACGAGUUCCACAAGGCUAACUGUGGCAUUUGGGCACUAAGUAAAAACUCCUAUGUCUUUGAAUCUCCAUAGAAGAUCGUGAAAUAGUGAAGAAAAGGAGUUUGUUGGAAUGUGGACUUGUAUUCAAACCUGUUUGUGUGCCCCCCUCUUGAUUUCUUAAGCAGCCAAAUGCCUCAUUUCUGCAUACUGUUAUUCUUCCUUGGGCCUGCUGCUCUGGAAUUUUUGACUCUAAUCCAACUGCAACUGUGGAAAGAGAGUAGUUUUAAUAAUAGUGGAAACUUACUGUUAUUAUUCAAACUUUACAUCAUCCUGAAGCAAAAAUAUUUGUUUGUAAGAUACAGCCUUUUGUAAGCCCACAUUAUCUAACACUCUAUUCUUAGGUUCAAUUAGCAAAAGCACUUGCUUUCUUUUCAGGGUUUUUCUCACCUUUCUCAGCUAGAUCACUUCCUAAACUGUAUUCUUCACCAUCCUUCCCUCCUCCUAGCCAAAUAAUUUUAGUCUCAGGAAAGAACUCUUUGGGUUGUAUUGUUUUAUGGCAGGAUCAGUUUUGCUAAUUCUUCCUGAGCAUUCUCAAAGUGUGGCUUUUUUCCAAAGCUGAAAUGCAAAAUAAUGUGAUUUCCGUGGUUUCCUGCAUGAUCCAAUUUAAGGCAUUUGGAGUGCUUAUAUUUUAUAGCAUUAAAUGGUAUUUCUUAAAUUUUUAAUUGAAAUAAUCCCUAAAAAUUAUUUGCAUGGUCAGUAAUAGAUGUGGUCAAUUAAUGAGUACCAUUAUAAACAUGUGGUUACGUAACCUCUAAACCCAAAGAUUUAUCACAAAUAAAUAAAGUAGAAUCCAAAUCCUAUGAGAACAAAUUACAUGCCUCUAGUUUCCCUUUGGAAACAGCUGUACUGAAUCAGGUGGAUGAUGAAGGCCAACUACACUUGGCUUUGAGAGUUGGCUUUAAUUAGCAUCCAUGACUCUCACUAAAAUUUAUGAGGAUAAACUUUCUUUGGACAUAAUGGUCCCUGCUGUUUUGUUAUCUCAUGCAAUGCUCGUUGGCUUCCGUAUUCAAAGUGCUGUAAUAUGCCCAGGGCCUGUGUAGAGAACAUUGGUAGCAUCUUCUUGCUAAGGCUUUUCAGGGUUGUAGGAUAUUUUCUCAGAUAUAUUUAAUAGCAAAUUUCCACAGAAUUUAUGAAUCAUUAAAUUAGAUGUUUUCUUGCUAGGCAGAAGUAAUGUGGGGAAUCAUUCUGAGUAAAAUCCAACAUUAAAAAAUUUAUUAUGUGUAUUUUCACAAACAUUUAUACCAGAUGGCAGUUACUAAAGGCGAUGUAGUUUUAUUUAUCAUAAGUACUAGAUAGGCUAAAGUUUUUCAGGUAGUCACCACUAUCUGAAAUUUGAGAUAAACUUAAGCUCUGUGAGGUUCACUUUUAUCCUGAAAAGAGGAAAGUCUUUGCAGACGGCUUCAAGACAUGCACCUGGGAUCCAUGAACCGCAAUAGUCGUAUACUUUCCAUUAAUUGGCUCUACCUAGAAAUUACCCGAUGGUGCUCAAAAGAUUGGCUGGGAUUACUUAAUAAUCUAUAGAUGGAGGUGAGACCAAGUUUGAUAGGAACCAGUGAAACUUGCUCAGAUUAUUCAAGAAUGUUAUAGAAUGUGAAAUUCCAUUCAAACCUACUUUUCAAUAGAAUAACAGGCUCCAUUGAGUAACACUGGCUUGUCAAAUAAUUUAAUGUUUAGUUAUUAUUAAAUUAUUUUUUAAGAAAGUUAGAAAUUUUCUGAUUUGAAAUGAAGUAACAAUCAGAAGAACUUAAAUCAUACCAAAUGGGCCACCAUUUAAUUAACUGAUUCCAUUUUCUUGUUUAACAUUCUCAUUAAUUUACUUAUGCCACUUUUGGAGGCCACUUUUAAUUUCUAUUGAACAUGAAUAAAUGGAUAAAUGGGUAUUUAACAAAGGCUAUACGUAAUUAGUAGCCUUUACCAAUAAAUUGCAAACAAGCACCUAACUGGACUUCUUUUCCCAUCUCAAAGGAAAAAACCUAAAUCACUUUACUCUGAGAAAUAAAACUUCAUCUGUGAAUGUUUGGUUGGGAUCUCAAUAUUUUGCCAUUUAUAAAUAAGAUCAGAGAAGCCAGGAGUAUAUCUUAUUUUGAUUAUUUUCAAGUACAGCUGUUAAUUUUGAUAAAUUUCUAUUACAAAUAACCAUUGAAAAUUUUGAAAAUACGAUUAAAUGAAAAAUAUCCGUAAUCGCCAAGGCAUAACUACUCUUCAUAUUUUGGUAUAUAGCCACUCAGACGUUUUGCUGUAUGCGUAACUGUAUAUAGAAGUAUAUAUGCAUUAAUGUAUAAAUUAUAGAUCUAUAAAAUCAACAAAGCAAUAAGGUAAUUAAAUGUAUAAUACAAAAUAUGGCAUAAUAAAACAUUUUGAAAUGAAAACAAUUAUAAUUCUAUACUACUACAAUUGUUCCCACUUUUAAUCUUACCUUCUGGUCUGUAUUCAUAUUGCUACUUAAUUAUAAUUAUAAAAUUCGUACUUCAACAACUACUUUGAUAAGAAAAUUGUAACUGCAUUUCUGUUGUUUUAAGGGAAUUAUUUUUUACAAACAUUCAUUCCCAAUUCAUACAGGAAGUGAAAAACCACGGCAUUUACCUCAGAGGCUUUUUGGGUGACAACUCAGUAGACUUAUGAAAAGCAAUAACAUAAAAAAUUCCAAAUAUCUGAUUUCCAUGUGGGAAGCAGCUGUUCUUUUUCAUGCAAUUGAAAGAAAAUAAGAAAAUCUGUGUGCUCUCUACUCUACCUGGCUUUCUCUGGCUCUGACCAUUGAAAUCUCAUUCCAACUCAGAGGCAUCUUUGAGGGUUGGUGAUAAUAAAGAUGCACUUAUUAAUAUUUAUUUUGUGACAAGCACUGUGCUAUGCAGUUUACAGGUAUAACCUAAUUUAAUUCUCAGAACAGCAUUUUAAAGACUAAGAAACUAAGGCUUAGAGAGGUCACAUAUCUGGUCCACAAUCACACAAAUAAUAAAGGGUAGAGCCAGGAUUUUUUUCUCCUUGAUGCCAGAGCUUGAUCACCAGCACUGUGUUAUCCUGCAUUCCUCUGGGUAGGUACAUUCCACUGCUGAUUGGGAGAUUAGUAAUUGGAUGUCUUCUGCUGGAACCUCCAUAUCCUAUCAAUUGUCCUCCUAUAGCUUGGGGUAAAUACUUGUGGCUUUCAGAAAGUGGCCUAGCCUUGGGAAAUCUACUCCUGGGAAAGCUCUUGACACACCUUUUUCCCCUAGUGAUUCAUUAUUUUUUUUUUUAUUAUUAUACUUUAAGUUCUAGGGUACAUGUGCACAGCAUGCAG